rnacentral:rRNA from 1 species
AUUCUGGUUGAUCCUGCCAGAGGCCACUGCUAUCAGAGUUCGAUUAAGCCAUGCGAGUCGAGAGGUGCAAGACCUCGGCAUACUGCUCAGUAACACGUGGACAAUCUAACCUACGGAAGAGGAUAACCCCGGGAAACUGGGGAUAAUACUCUA